GAUGAACGCUGGCGGCGUGCCUAAUACAUGCAAGUCGAGCGAAGCGGGGACGGGUGAGUAACACGUGGAUAACCUCCUAUACGACUGGGAUAACUUCGGGAAACCGGUGCUAAACCUGCUACUUUUAGCUGGAUCUGCGCUGCAUUAGCUAGUUGGUAAGGUAACGGCUUACCAAGUCAACGAUGCAUAGCCGACCUGAGAGGGGGACCGGGCAAACUGGAACUGAGACACGGUCCAGACUCCUACGUGAGGCAGCAGUAGGGAAUCUUCCGCAAUGGGAGAAAGCCUGACGGAGCAACGCCGCGUGAGUGAUGAAGGUCUUCGGAUCGUAAAACUCUGUUAUUAGGGAAGCGGUACCUAAACAGAAAGCCACGGCUAACUACGUGCCAGCCGCCGCGGUAAUAC
rnacentral:rRNA from 1 species